rnacentral:lncRNA from 1 species
UGGCAAUGUACAUUUCAGUCCUUUUGCUCAUUUAUUGAAAUACUUGUGGCCUUGUUCAUAAAAAUAUACUUGUGAAUUAUAUUAAUAUUUCCCUAUGCAUUAUUUACUUUAUAGAUGCAGUAAAUAUUUAUUAUAAUUUACUUGUGCACAAUUAUAAUUAGGACACUUGGUCAACUCCCUAUACUAUUAUUUAGUUAUCAAUUUUAUAGUAACAUUUGAUUUUCUUUCUGUGUUUAGCAGAAAAGGUUAAAAGAGACUGUGAACUGAGUAGUUCAAGUGCUGAAGAAGAAGACUCGCUUUGAGGAAACAAGAAAGAGAAAGGAAAGAAGGGAAAUCAAUUUUAAUGAAGAAGGAGAGAAAAAAAUGGGGCUAUGGGGUGAAAAAAGAUUGAGAUUACAAGGAUUAUGGAUGAAUGUAACAGACAGGCCUCUCCCAAGCACCAGCUAAAGGGGUGCUUGACCCUCCCAAAUCAGCGGGCAUCUACAACAGCAGCUCCAGGAACCCUAGGUCAAAGGCAGCUGAUCACACUUGUUAGAACCUGCUAGAGCUUCCUGAGGCCCACACCCUUCCAGCUCCCCUCACCUUGUCCUAACCUGACAGCAGCAGGAAUCCUCAAGUGUCUCAGAGGGUUCCCAGGCAUUCCCCGAUGAUGUUGGACCUUGCCCCCAGAAGGUCCAGAAGCUUCCAAAGCAGAACCCAGAGACUGCAGUGCAAAUUGUUGUGUCUAUUGGCAACCAACAGAUGCUGGUGAUGAUGAGGGAUAACCUCUGAACAAGAUAAAGGGGGGUUAGGCUCAUUCAAUCUGACUGGCUGAAAGAACAUCAAUGCCCUUAAGUACACAGGGUUCAAAGAACUGUUUGACAUCUCCAGACACAAAGAGAAGUAUUAAAAAUCCUUGUUGUGAACAUCUAUGCAAGGCUGAGAAAAUUAAAAUGAUGUUAUAAAAAUAUGUAUUACAGUCUCCGAGUUAUGUUCUCUUACAGGAACUUUCAGUCUCUCACGAUCCUGUGUAUAAGCCUUUGUUUUUCAAAAUGAUACUGAACUAAAUAUAGUUUUCAAAUGAAUGAACACUAGACACAACUUCCAAAUAUAAUUAUUUUUUCAUAUGCUGUGAAAGUGUGG